GGCUGACUAUAGAUAAUACAAACUGCCGAUUGGUAGAUUUUUACGCUUAGCCACUCCCAUUUUUAACACCUGCCCUGGCCGUUAUAACUCUUUCCCCAAAAUAACUUGUUCGAGCCUUUUAUAAUACAGAGUCUUACAGGCUCCGCCUACAUUUUAGUGAAUAUAAAUUCACCAUCCUUUUAGCAAAGUCCCAUACUCUACCUUUCUUCAAAUCAGGAGCUGUCUGACGUUAAACGGUCUUUGCUGAUAAGUUGCUACAGUCGUCAAGAAUACAACUAAAAAGAUGUCCAUCUCCGAGGAAACGAUUUUGUCACUCUCCAAAGCUGUCGGACAAAGCCCCCAAUUUGCAACUUUGUGUCUCAAUCUCGGAUUCACUGCUGACCAAGCUGCAGCGUAUGAGGCACAGAACAACACCUCCGCAUGCAACGGAGCACUGAAGAUGCUCAAUAAGUGGCAAGACCAAGUCAAGAAACCUGGAGACCAACCACCAUUGAUGAGGAAAGCACUGCAGGAAUCGAAUAUGGGCGAAAUUGCUAAUAAAUAUUUCCCCAUAACCUAAGCUUUUCCGGCUUCAACGACUCCUGCAUUUUGGAGAAGCGUUAAACAACCUGGAUGCCCUGGUUGUUCUGAAAAGAAACUUAGAAAUGCUGGUUCACAUCUAAAGUUCUACGGAGAUGGGUUUCAACAUUUUAUAACAUUUUAUUCAACUAUAGGCUUAGAUUUUGAUGGCUGUUAUUUUCAUUGACUAAACAUAAGACGUCGUUAAAGUAGUUUUUUAAAGACAGUAAACAAACCUACCAAUGUUCCAUUCAAAUGAUUUGAUUUUGUUCGGAGGAUUGAUCAAACACAUGUGACAGUCCUACCUUCUGUGACUAAACUUUAAUUAGAAUGUCGAGGUGAAACAUAUUUCCACUGCUACGGCGUUGAUUUACUGCAAGAGAACCAAACCCAUCGAAUCUAUGUACUCACUUCAAAAUGGGUUCCCUUACAAUAAAUAUCAUCAAGAUUUUGUUUUAUUAUUAAGAUUCAUGAAGCUUUUUUCAUUCUAUUGAUAGUCUUAAUUCAUUCAUAUCUCCAUAACGAAUACAUGUAUCAGCGCAAAUCUUUAUUUAAUUAAGAAAUAUUGAGACCCCUAAUGAUUAUUGAUGAUACGAUAUUGAAUAAUGUCAUGAAUACACCAUUUUCAUUUCACUGCAAUAAUAUUUCUGCAAAUCACCGUGUGUUAUUUCAAUGAGUAGAGGAAUUCUUACACAUAUAUCUUUCUUACUGUUAUUCGAUUUCUUGGUACAUUUUUGUAAUCAUUUAAGAGUUAACUUCUACAAAAUAUGUUUUCAGGUCGUAUAUUUUCUAAUGCUUACGGGAAUUUUCUUCUUAAGGACUCAUUUAAAAAAUAAUUACACCCCCUGUAAUAGAUUUGUUUUGUUUUGUGCUUUUUGAUGCAUUUAUUAUCUGGUAGAGAUCCGUUAAAUACUUUCGCAUUUGUAGGCUCAUGGCUGUCGAAAAUAAAUAAGGAUGGACCAGCAGU